rnacentral:tRNA from 1 species
UGGCUCAGUUGGUUGAGCGUCUGACUUCAGCUCAGGUCGUGAUCUUAUGGCAUGUGGGUUCGAAUCCCCAC